AGGAUUAUAGUUUAAUAAAAACAUUAGGUUUGCUACCAUAAAAUAUUGACUUAUCAAUUUAUCUUA
rnacentral:tRNA from 1 species